UCAGCAGUAUUUUCCCGAACAUCUCCAAGAACAAUCUACGAUGAGGGACAACUUCAAGACAAAGGCAAAGAAAUUCUUUGUGAAAGGUAAAGUGAUGUAUAACCUGCAAGAAGUCAGAUCCACUUAAACCAUCACAGAAACCUGAACUGCAGCAAAUAAAGGUGUUAAGUCCUUUUGAACUGAUUAGUGUUGACCUGAUAGGAUCUUUCACAACUAGUCAAGGGUCUUUACAUCUUCACUGCAACAGACUAUUACACAAAGUGGGUUGAGGCAUUUCUUAUUCCAUCAAAGCAAGCCUCAGAUGUUGCUAAGUGCUUCCAAAAGCUUUUCCUAGAUGUGAUGCUGUGAAUGUUGUCCUCACUGACCAGGGAAAAGAAUUUGUAAAUAGUAUUAUAAAUGCAUUCCUGCAGAUGAUUAAGGUGCGAGUCAUUACAUCAGAGAGCCCCAUCUUCUUGCUCCCUUCUUCUUGCUCCCUUCUUACACAGCAUUGUGGGAUGCUAGUGACAUAGACCACUGGCUAUUUAAAAAGGUGCAGUUUAGAAAGUACAGAUACAUUGUAAAUGCCUGUAGAUGUCAGCAACAAUCAUUUGGUACUUUAAGUAGCAAGUGUGAGAGACAGAACCAUAACGGUUUCCAUGAAUGGAAGUAAUGGAGACAUGUUCAUUGACC